UGCUUGUGUAUGCAAGAACUUCAAAGUGUAACCAUUUAGCUAAAUAGUGGUUAGUACAAAAGUAUCUAACUUGAAUUAAACAUAAAACUUAUUUAGAAUUGGAACAUUAUUUUCGUUUAGUCUCUAACAUACUUGUAUCUUACUUCAAUUCUUAUAUUUCAAUAGAAUUAAAAUUUGAACUAUUCACAACCUUAAUACAUUAUCAAAGUAAAAAGACAACAAAAUGGAGUCUCCACCGAAAUUUUUUAGGCAAUUACAGCUAGGGUAACACCAUGUGCAAUUCUAUGUUGAUUAAAUUUAGACAUUAUCCGGUUUCUUUUUUUCUCUCUAGUUUUGAUUCAUUUUAUAUGGCAAGCCAUUAUCAAAGACAGCAAUGAAAUGAGGCUGAAGCACUGCAAAGAUGCAUGAUACUAGGCAGCCUGCAGAUAAUGUUGGCUCAUGGAAUUGAAACAUGUCACGUUGAUGGACAUGGGAAAAUUUGUUGUCUGAGUAUUGGUCUUCGUAAUUAUCACAGAGAGAAAACACGACAUUGUGCAUCUAUUACUAGCAAUUGACACUAGGAGUGCUUUCUCCAAAUUUCUAUCAAGACCCUUUUGAAUCAAAGAAACUAUAUACUCCAUGAAGACUGCAUCGCAAGGCAAUACGAUUGGUCCUUCGCUUGGUAGACCAAAUUCUUUCUCAGACAUCUUAUUGAGUUCUGUAAUGAUAGGAUUGUUGAGAAAUGCUAUUGGGAAAAAAAAAAGUCUUUCAUCAGCUAUGUAAACAACAAUAUGGCCCUUAUCUGCCACAGAUGGUGCAUUGCCAGUUUCUUGUUUUGUGCCUUGACUAGCUCUUGGGAGUGAAAUUCUUUUCCUCUUUAGAGCUGCUACUCUGUGCCACUUCUUUGCCAUCUUCAUUAGUUUCUUUGUGCUGAUCAUCUUUUCUAGAGGAACUGAGCCAAAAAAAGAAAGAGGUGAAACUAUUCUUUUUUGAAUAAUGGAAUGUGAUUGUCCAUCUGAUGCAGAAUGCAACGGUGUGGGAUGAUUUAUAUACCGCCAGACCAUUGAAACAGUUAUUUUCAUGUGGGGUGACCUUUUGAGGGGUUAAUGGGUACACAGUCAUGUGAUAUGUGAUUAUAUGAAGUGGACAAAUUUGUGAAAGGUCAUAUAAUAUUGGAUAACUUACAUUUGUGGUUGUGCAUCCAUGAGCUCCUCACCCCACAUGGACCACUAUGUUUAGAUACUGAGAGAAUAUGAUUCAAAGGUGCAGUGUUUGGCUAGUUGGACAAUCAAUAAGGAAACUGUAUAGGAACACAAACCUGGAAUUAAUGGCCUACUGCAGGAGGUGUAGCAAUGCAUUAGGGCCCGGAAACUUAUCUCAAUGUUCUUCCAUCAGUAAAAUAAUUCAAAUACAGAUGUAUCAAUGUUGUAGAAAAACAUGCCAGCCAUAUUGUUUAACUGUUAGCAGUUGAGUUUUUUCUUGAACAGUGACUGCUGAAGUCAGAAAGUUAUGAUUGUUUUUUCCGUACUUUACUUUAGUUAGUAAGCGGCAGUUGAAAGGAAUGGUGAACCAUGUUUUGUAGCAAGAAAAUCAGCAACUCUUGCUUGUUUUGGUUAACAAAAUGAUGUGUAUUAGGUGAUGAUUUUGCUGACAGCUUAUAUUUGCUGUAGCAAAAUAUCUUCCUCUGAAAAUGGUAUAUAUAUGUAAGGCUGAUGAAUUACAAAAUGCAGAUUUCACAUUUCCACAAGUUGUCUCCUACUCUGCUGUAUUUUCUUCUGCAUUUACCUCUGCAUUUUUUUUCUGCUCUCUUUUUUCUCACUGCAGACUCCACACAUGCUGAUUUAAAUUUCUGCAUUUUCCUUUCUCUGUUUUUUGUAAUUACAAACACAAAAACAACAAGCUUUUGCCUCUAUCAAUGGUAUCAGAGUAGUAUUCGUUAAGGGUCUUAAGUUGUGAGUAAUUCAAAUGGCUUCAAAUGUUAACUUGCCAGCUCUACCAGUAUUUACAGGGGAGAAUUAUGAUUAUCGGGUAGUGAGAAUGGAAGCCUAUCUUCUUGCUUAUGAUUUGUGGAGCACUGUGGAGGAGGAGUAUGUAAGAGUUCCAUUACCUGAUAAUCCCACCUUACCACAGAUUAGGCAAGACACAGAAGGGUCCUUGAGGAUUUUCAAAUCUUUUUCAAUUCUUCAUUCUACAGUGUCUGAUGACAUAUUCCUAAGGCUGGUAGCCUUUCAAGACAGCCAAGAAAGCUUGAGAUUAUUUGAGGGAAAAAUAUUCUGGGAGUGCUAAAGUGAGAAGAGUAAGAUUGUUGACUCUGAAAAGAGAGUUUGAGUUGUUGAGAAUGCAGGAGGGAGAAAGUAUUAAAUAGUCUACAAGAGUUAUGAAUCUUGUUAAUCAAAUAAAGCUGCUUAGAGAAGAAAAAAGGAAAAUCAAUCCUCAACAAGUAAAGGAAAGCAGCCACAGAUUCAGAAGAUUCACCAGAAAAGGAAAGUGUCCUCCUUGUGGAAGUUGUGGUAAAUUCAAUCAUCCUGAGAGUAAGUGAUGGAAGCACGUACAAUGCAAGAUUUGCAAAAAGCAUGAUCAUUCAGAGAUUGUGUGCUGGAAGAGAAAAAAUUAAGCAUCACAGAAAAAAAACAGCAGCAACUACUUCAGCAACUGGAAGUCUAUUUAGCUGAGAACCAUGAACAGCAGUCUUUUCAUAAUGACUGAGGCAUCUUGUGUGAGUGGAAGUGAUUUUUGGUAUGUGGACAAUGGGUGCACAAGCCAUAUGGCCAAGGAUCGUAUGUUAUUUAGUAACUUGGAUGUUAAUUGUAGAACUAAAGUGAAACUUGACAAUGGAGCAGUUGUGGAAGCUCAAGAAAAAGACUCAAUACCAAUUCAAACUAAGAGAAUUUGAUGAUCCAACUGCAAAUACACUAGACAUAAAAAUCAAGUUAUUGGUAGAUGAUUAUGAAACGUGCAAUUUGGUCAUCAUUGAACCAACAAACUAUGAAGAGUCUACGACGUACAAGGAGUGACAGCUUGCCAUGCAUGAGGAGAUUUUCAUUAAACAACCUCAGGGGUUUGUAGUUGAUGGAAAAACUGACAUGGUAUACAAGUUGAAGAAGGUCUUAUAUGGCCUCAAGCAGGCAUCUAGGGUCUGGUAUACAAGGAUUGAUUCACAUAUGAUUAAUCUUGGUUUUCUAAGAAGUGAGACUGAGUCAACUCUUUAUGUGAAGAAUUAUCAAGAUAAAGAGCAGCUCAUUGUCUCGAUUUAUGUUGAUGAUUUGCUCAUUAAUGGUGGAAAUCAUCAACUGGUGCAGCAGUUUAAACAACAGAAGAUGAAAGAAUUUGCUAUGUAAUUGGAGAGAUUCCCUUGCAACAUGGUAGGACUAAGCAUAUAAAAGUUGAGUUUCAUUUCUUGCGCGAAGCUGAGAAGAACCAAGAGAUCUUUUUAGAGCAUUGUAGAUCAGAGGAACAAUUUGCUGAUAUCCUAACUAAAGCUUAGAGAUCCUGUUGGAGCAUUGUAGAUCAGAGGAACAACUUGCUGAUAUCCCAACUAAAGCUUUGCCCAGGGGACGGUUUAAAGACUUGAGAACCAAGCUUGGACUGUUCAAAGAAAACUCAAGGAAUAGUGUUAGCAGUUGAGUUUUUUCUUGAACAGUGACUACUGAAGUCAUAAAGUUAUGAUUGUUUUUUCUGUAUUUUGCUUUAGUUAGUAAGUGACAGUUGAAAGGAAUGGUAAAGCAUGUUUUGCAGCAAGAAAAUCAGCAACUCUUGCUUGUUUUGGUUAACAAAAUGAUGUGUAUUAGGAGAUGAUUUUGCUGGCAGCUUGCAUUUGCUGUAGCAAAAUAUCAGGCUCUGAAAAUGAUAUAUAUAUAUAUAUAUAUGUGUGUG